rnacentral:rRNA from 1 species
UACGGAGGGAGCUAGCGUUGUUCGGAAUUACUGGGCGUAAAGCGCGCGUAGGCGGCUUUGUAAGUUAGAGGUGAAAGCCCGGAGCUCAACUCCGGAACUGCCUUUAAAACUGCAUCGCUUGAAUCCAGGAGAGGUGAGUGGAAUUCCGAGUGUAGAGGUGAAAUUCGUAGAUAUUCGGAAGAACACCAGUGACGAAGGCGGCUCACUGGACUGGUAUUGACGCUGAGGUGCGAAAGCGUGGGGAGCAAACAGG